AGAGUUUGAUCCUAGCUCAGGACUAACGCUGGCGGUAUGCCUUAUACAUGCAAGUCGAACGGUAAGGCCCUUCGGGGUACACGAGUGGCGGACGGGUGAGUAACACGUAGGAAUCUACCCUUUAGUGGGGGACAACCAAGAGAAAUCUUGGCUAAUACCCCAUACGCCGAAAGGUGAAAGUAGCAAUACGCUAGAGGAGGAGCCUGCGCUUGAUUAGCUAGUUGGUGGGGUAAAAGCCUACCAAGGCGACGAUCAAUAACUGGUCUGAGAGGAUGACCAGUCACAAUGGGACUGAGAUACGGCCCAUACUCCUACGGGAGGCAGCAGUAGGGAAUUUUGCGCAAUGGACGAAAGUCUGACGCAGCAAUACCGCGUGUGGGAAGAAGCUCCGUGGAGUGUAAACCACUGUCGGAUGGGAAGAAUUAAUGACGGUACCAUCAAAGGAAGCACCGGCUAACUCUGUGCCAGCAGCCGCGGUAAUACAGAGGGUGCAAGCGUUGUCCGGAUUUAUUGGGCGUAAAGCGUCUGUAGGCUGCUUAACAAGUCUGGAGUGAAAGAAUGGAGCUCAACUCCAUACCCGCUUCGGAAACUGUUAAGCUAGAGACAGCUAGGGGUUCGUGGAAUUUCCAGUGUAGCGGUGAAAUGCGUAGAUAUUGGAAGGAACACCAGAGGCGAAGGCGGCGAACUGGAGCUGUUCUGACGCUGAGAGACGAAAGCCAGGGGAGCGAAAGGGAUUAGAUACCCCUGUAGUCCUGGCCGUAAACGAUGAGUACUAGCCGUCACGGGAGUCUU
rnacentral:rRNA from 1 species